rnacentral:rRNA from 1 species
CGUAGGGGGCGAGCGUUGUCCGGAUUCAUUGGGCGUAAAGCGCUUUAAGGCGGUUCGCUAAGUCGGGUGUGAAACCUCCAGGCUCAACCUGGAGACGCCACUCGAUACUGGCGUGACUAGAGUUCGGUAGGGGACCACGGAAUUCCUGGUGUAGCGGUGAAAUGCGCAGAUAUCAGGAGGAACACCAGUGGCGAAGGCGGUGGUCUGGGCCGAUACUGACGCUGUAGAGCGAAAGCGUGGGGAGCGAACAGGAUUAGAUACCCUGGUAGUCCACGCCGUAAACGUUGGGCACUAGGUGUGGGGGAUUAUCAACGUCCUCCGUGCCGUAGCUAACGCAUUAAGUGCCCCGCCUGGGGAGUACGGCCGCAAGGCUA